rnacentral:rRNA from 1 species
UACGUAGGGUGCAAGCGUUGUCCGGAUUCAUUGGGCGUAAAGAGCUCGUAGGCGGCCACUCAAGUCGAAUGUGAAACCUCGAGGCUUAACCUCGAGCCUGCAUUCGAUACUGGGCGGCUAGAGUCUGGUAGGGGGAUCUGGAAUUCCUGGUGUAGCGGUGGAAUGCGCAGAUAUCAGGAGGAACACCGGUGGCGAAGGCGGUAUCCUGGGCCAGUACUGACGCUGAGGAGCGAAAGCGUGGGGAGCAAACAGG